GAAAUGCGAUAAGUAAUGCGAAUUGCAGAAUUUCCGUGAGUCAUCGAAUCUUUGAACGCACAUUGCGCCCAUUGGUAUUCCGAUGGGCAUGCCUGUUUGAGUGUCAUGGAAUUCUCAACUCUAUUUGCUUUUGUGAAUAGAGCUUGGAUUUGGAGGUUUAUUGCUGGUACUUGUGAUCGGCUCCUCUUGAAUGCAUUAGCUCGAACCUUUGCGGAUCAGCUAUCGGUGUGAUAAUUGUCUACGCCGUUGCAGUGAAGCAUAUCAAUGGGCUCGGCUUCCAAUCGUCCUUUACUGAACAAUGACUUUGACCUUUGACCUCAAAUCAGGUAGGAUUACCCGCUGAACUUAAGC
rnacentral:misc_RNA from 1 species